rnacentral:rRNA from 1 species
UCCUGACACAGGGAGGUAGUGACAAGAAAUAACAAUACAGGGCUAUUUUAGUCUUGUAAUUGGAAUGAGUACAAUUUACAUCUCUUCACGAGGAUCAAUUGGAGGGCAAGUCUGGUGCCAGCAGCCGCGGUAAUUCCAGCUCCAAUAGCGUAUAUUAAAGUUGUUGCAGUUAAAACGCUCGUAGUCGGAUUUCGGGGCGAACCCGCCGGUCUGCCGUUGGGUAUGCACUGGUGGGCGCGUCCUUCCUUCCGGAGACCGUUCCUACUCUUAGCUGAGCGGGGACGGGAGACGGAUCGUUUACUUUAAAAAAAUCAGAGUGUUUCAAGCAGGCAUUUGCUCUUGCAUGGAUUAGCAUGGGAUAAUGAAAUAGGACUUUGGUGCUAUUUUGUUGGUUUCGAACACCGAAGUAAUGAUUAACAGGGACA